GAAUUCUUAGUUUAGUUUAAAUAUUUAGUUGUGGUCUAGAAGAUUUAGAAUUUU
rnacentral:tRNA from 1 species